rnacentral:rRNA from 1 species
CAGUCGCCACGGUAAUACGAAGGGUGCAAGCGUUACUCGGAAUUACUGGGCGUAAAGCGUGUGUAGGUGGUUGUUUAAGUCUGUCGUGAAAGCCCUGGGCUCAACCUGGGAAUUGCGAUGGAUACUGGGCGACUAGAGUGCGGUAGAGGAUAGUGGAACUUCCGGUGUAGCAGUGAAAUGCGUAGAGAUCGGAAGGAACAUCUGUGGCGAAGGCGACUAUCUGGGCCAACACUGACACUGAGACAUGAAAGCGUGGGGAGCAAACAGGAUUAGAUACCCGAGUAGUCCCUGUCUCUUAUAC